rnacentral:rRNA from 1 species
AGUGAACGCUGGCGGCGUGCCUAAUACAUGCAAGUCGAACGGAGUGGCGCACGGGUGGGUAAUGUAUAGCUUAUCUGCCCUACACUAGAGGACAACAGUUGUAAACGGCUGCUAAUACUCUAUAGUGUAGGAUGAGGCGAUAUUGUAUCAGCUAGUUGGUGAGGUAAUGGCUCACCAAGGCGAUGACGCAUAACUGGUCUGAGAGGAUGAUCAGUGACACUGGAACUGAGACACGGUCCAGACUCCAACGGCAGGCAUGUGUAGGGAGCAUGGCUCAAUGGGGGCAACCCUGAAGUAGCCCCGCGGCGUGUAAACUGACACUUAUCGGAGCGUAGACUCCUUUUUUUAGCGAUGCGGUGGCUAGCGAAUAAGCACCGGCUCAGUACGUGCUAUCUGCCGCGGUAAUUC